rnacentral:ncRNA from 1 species
ACGAGGAAGGGCGUAGCAAGCGACGAAAUGCUUCGGGGAGUUGAAAAUAAGCAUAGAUCCGGAGAUUCUCAAAUAGGUCAACCUUUUGAACUGCCUGCUGAAUCCAUGAGCACAACCGUCAUUGGGAGGU